rnacentral:rRNA from 1 species
UACGGGGGGGGCAAGCGUUGUUCGGAAUUACUGGGCGUAAAGGGCUCGUAGGUGGCCAACUAAGUCAGACGUGAAAUCCCUCAGCUUAACUGGGGAACUGCGUCUGAUACUGGAUGGCUUGAGAUUGGGAGAGGGAUGCGGAAUUCCAGGUGUAGCGGUGAAAUGCGCAGAUAUCGGGAGGAACACCGGUGGCGAAGGCGGUUCUCUGGGCCUUACCUGACGCUGAGGAGCGAAAGCGUGGGGAGCGAACAGG